AGCAUGCAGGCGGCCUGUUAAGUCAGAUGUGAAAGCCCGGGGCUUAACCUCGGAAUUGCAUUUGAAACUGGCAGGCUAGAGUCUUGUAGAGGGGGGUAGGAAUUUCAGGUGUAGCGGUGAAAUGCGUAGAGAUCUGAAGGAAUACCAGUGGCGAAGGCGGCCCCCUGGACAAAGACUGACGCUCAGAUGCGAAAGCGUGGGGAGCAAACAGGAUUAGAUACCCUGGUAG
rnacentral:rRNA from 1 species